rnacentral:misc_RNA from 1 species
UUGAAAUGUAGGCAGAAGCAUAGAGGGAAUAAAAGAUAUGAAACUUCCAAAAUUUUUUAGUCAACACUGAAAUGAUUACAUUCAUGAACUUCUUUUAUUAAACUAUAUCCCCACCUUUAGAUGGAGGAAAGAUACACGUCUUAUAAUGAAAUAAAAUGAAACAUAUUGAAGAGCUAAGCAUGAGGAUUAAUAUUUUAUAGGGACUUAUUAUUUGUAUGAUAAAAUCUGAAUUGGAUCGUAUGAUUAUCCGUUCACUUGUACUCCUGUAUCAUAUGUUCCUCCAGCUUUCCAGUCUUGGGGUAUGUUGUUGACAGGAACAACCCAGGUCUCAUCUCCAUCCUCACCACUGAAUAACAUCCUCAGAGUCAAAGGCCCGCUUGGUGGUGAUGUAGUUGUCCAUACUGCUCCAUAACUCCGAUCCAAGAGCUUGCACACAAAAUUUUGAGUCUCACAUAGCUGCACAGCAGUAAUAUCUCUCUUUCCUUGUUGAUACCAUAUGACAAAAGCCAAAUAGUGAGGGUGGUUGCUGUUCUCAUCAAUUUUGAUUGUGAUAUUUUUGUUUGGAUAGCUGCAUGAAACACGUCUAUAUUCAAUAUCAAUUACUCCAAGGGCUAAUAGUGAAGCAGCCGCAUCUGAGUUUUGAGCCAUACGACCAAAGGCUUGUUUGCUAAGAAUAAAGUCUGUGUCAUGGCUUGAGCCUUGGUCUGUUAUAACAAUAGUUACUCCUUUAUCUGUGCAAUAGUUGCUGCUGGUGCACCUCACCUGAUAGCAAGCACCACACCCAAUACCACCACGGUAGAGAUCAGAUGCAGCUGACACAUCCCCACCGUUUAAUGUUGCCCCAAAUGAACCAAAUCCGCAAGCACCAGAAUCUGUUCCUUGUUCAUCAGAAUUUGGAUAAUGAGCUGCUCGAGAAUGAAUGAAACAGUCUGUGCAUGUUUCAGCUUCUGCAGCCAUAGUCUGCAUAAUUAGAAGAGAUGCCAACAGAAGCAGGAGGGGCCUGAAGGAUGGAGCCAUUAUACGAUAUAAAGAGCAAAGGUGAUGAAAGCAAAGAAG